ACACAUACCGUGAUAGGGAAGAGUAAAGCGGAAAGCUGUUUUCAGAGAGAGAAAUCGCCUGCUGAGAGAUUUCUUAAACAAGCGUGCUUGAAGGUCGCCCUGGAGUAAUUCUCUUGAACCAUGAAGUAGAGAGAAUCGGCAUGAACGCCGUUAUCCCAUUUGAGAGCACAGGUUCUUUUUUGCCUGUGAAAAAAGGUGGCACCGCGAAAUCAACUCCUUUCGUCCUUUUA
rnacentral:ncRNA from 1 species